GGUAAUCUUCUCAUGCGGAUGCGAAUAUUCUGGCGGUUGCCAAGUCAAUUGCAUCCAGGUCGCGCUGUGUGAUGUAAUUGACAGCGAGUGUGGCGGCGAGGGUGCACCGUAGCAGGCGUACUCGUACGGUUGGAAAUAGCAAAGCUGUGAUUAGCGAAAAUAAAAUCAAAAUUUCCAAAAAAUAUCUACCAAAAUCAGCACAAUGAGCCAACCAAUGUCAUACGUCAACCGCAUUUGGUUAGCUAAUGCUCGCAUAUAUUGUAAAAGUGUGUCUGCGAUGGAAUAUAAGUUUAGUUACAAAAAUUUGUUCACCGUGAGACAACUUUAUUUGGAGGUUCACCAGGAGAUCGUUUAAGGGAAUCGAAAAUUUGUUAAAAAGCAUCACCAAUUAUUAACGCAUAUUAAAAUCUUUAAAAUUGCAUUAUUUUUAUUUAUUUAUUAAAUAAAAUGACCUUUAAAAAAAUAAA